UACGUAGGGUGCGAGCGUUAAUCGGAAUUACUGGGCGUAAAGCGUGCGCAGGCGGUUCGCCAAGUCAGGUGUGAAAUCCCCGGGCUUAACCUGGGAAUUGCGCUUGAAACUAGCGGGCUUGAGUGUGGCAGAGGGGGGUGGAACUCCACGUGUAGCAGUGAAAUGCGUAGAGAUGUGGAGGAACACCGAUGGCGAAGGCAGCCCCCUGGGUCAACACUGACGCUCAUGCCCGAAAGCGUGGGGAGCAAACAGG
rnacentral:rRNA from 1 species